CAGCACCUCAAGUGGUCAGGAUGAUUAUUGGGCCUAAAGCAUCCGUAGCCGGCGCUGUAAGUUUUCGGUUAAAUCUGUACGCUCAACGUAUGGGCUGCCGGGAAUACUGCAGCGCUAGGGAGUGGGAGAGGUAGACGGUACUCGGUAGGAAGGGGUAAAAUCCUUUGAUCUAUUGAUGACCACCUGUGGCGAAGGCGGUCUACCAGAACACGUCCGACGGUGAGGGAUGAAAGCUGGGGGAGCAAACCGGAUUAGAGACCCGAGUAGUCC
rnacentral:rRNA from 1 species